GGAUGUGGCUCAGUGGCAGAGCUGCUGUUUUGAGGCAGAAGGUCCCUGGUUCAGUCCCUGGCAUCUCCA